AGCAGCCGCGGUAAUUCCAGCUCCAAUAGCGUAUAUUAAAGUUGUUGCAGUUAAAAAGCUCGUAGUUGAAUUUCGGGAUCAGUGCGCUGGUCGUGCCUUCGGUAUGUACUGGUGUUACUGGUUCCUACCUUCUGACGAACCGUCAUGUCAUUAAUUUGGUGUGGCGGGGAAUCAGGACUGUUACUUUGAAAAAAUUAGAGUGUUUAAAGCAGGCUCGCGCUUGAAUACAUUAGCAUGGAAUAAUGAAAUAGGACGUUAAUCCUAUUUUGUUGGUUUUUAGGAUCGACGUAAUGAUUAAUAGGGAUAGCUGGGGGCAUUAGUAUUCAAUUGUCAGAGGUGAAAUUCUUGGAUUUAU
rnacentral:rRNA from 1 species